rnacentral:tRNA from 4 species
GGCCCCAUCGUCUAAUGGUUAGGACAGCGCUCUUUCAAGGCGUAAAUCCGGGUUCGAUUCCCGGUGGGGCCGCAA